AAUUCUCCGUGAAGAUGCGGAGUACCCGCGGUUAGACGGAAAGACCCCGUGCACCUUUACUGCAGCUUUAGAGUGGCAUUAGGAAAGAACUGUGUAGAAUAGGUGGGAGGCUUUGAAACUUGGGCGCCAGUCCGAGUGGAGCCAACCUGUGAAAUACCACCCUGUUGUUUUCUGAUGUCUAACCUAGGUCCGUUAUCCGGACCAGGGACCCUCUAUGGCGGGUAGUUUGACUGGGGCGGUCGCCUCCCAAAGAGUAACGGAGGCGCGCGAUGGUGGGCUCAGAGCGGUCGGAAAUCGCUCGUUGAGUGCAAUGGCAUAAGCCCGCCUGACUGCGAGACUGACAGGUCGAGCAGAGUCGAAAGACGGCCAUAGUGAUCCGGUGGUCCCAAGUGGGAGGGCCAUCGCUCAACGGAUAAAAGGUACGCCGGGGAUAACAGGCUGAU
rnacentral:rRNA from 1 species